AGCACCUCCUGCAGACGUUUUAUAUACUGUAUUUAUCCUAAUUUAUGUGCUUGGCUAAGUUGUUUUUAAUACGGCACGUUCACCGAAGAGCAUGUCAGUUUGUUUGACACAUAAUCUUAAUGAUUUGAUGUCAAUGUGGACUACAUUAGGGGCUUUCUUCAUUUAAAUGGAGUUUUUUAACAGGUUAAAAAAGGAGGUGACAUUCUAUUUGUACCCAUUUUUAUUCUCCUAAACAUACAUAUCUUGCCUCAUGAACAUGUUUUGUGCAUUUUUUCUUGUACCGCACCCUCCAACAGAUCUUCAUCCUUAUUGAAACUCCCUAGCAGUCCUCAUGAAGCAAGGUUGAGCCAUAAGCACAAGCAGACUGUGCCCCACAACAAUUCCAUUGUCCUACAAUGGAAUGAAUGUGAUGGACAGCACAAAAUACCCAUCUACUCAAAUGAUUCAGUACUGUUUACUGUAGCCUAGCAACUGCCUAGAAGAGACAUGCAUUUUCAGGAUUGAAGAUAUUACUCCAGUCCCUCCUGUUCUUCCACACUGUGCUCAGAUUCCUCCAAGCUGGCUCACAGUGUCUGUUUACUGUACGUCUGCACAGGAGUUGGAGGAGUUCAUGUGAUCUGAAGGUCUGCUUUCUUCAGAUUGAAGGUUUUUUGUAUCUCACAGACCCACCAGUCCACCUUCAGAACAACACAAGUAUUCAUACGUAAUUUCAGUUUGUCUCUCAAACUGGUUACUUGAUAGACUCUGCUACCAGCACAUUGCAGAUUACUUCCAAGAUAGGUCAUGGCUUCAACACCUUCCACAUUGUCACCUCCCAUUGUUCCUUGAUUCUGACCCGAAUAUCAUCUUAGUCUUUGUCCAUUUGAUAUUCAGAUCAAAGGACAUUCCUUAAUCUGCAUGAUUUCUAGUGAAAAAAGUAUGUAAAACACUGAUUACUGAGGAUCUCUGCCAGGAAACUCUUGUCCUACCAGCUGGUGCACUUCUGGAUUCAGUCAAUUGAUGGCAAGAACAUAUUUGGAACAAGUGUGUAACCCUGGGAGACUCUACUGCAUUCCUCAUCAUGACUUGGUUUCAACUGACAGUAACCUUUUUACAACACCUUCAUCAGCUGUAUUAUUUUUGGCGGGAGUCCCAAGAAUUGGAAAAGGAGCCACAUACUAUAGAGUUGUGAUAAAGUGAGUCAAAUGCAACUCAGGACCCCAUACACUAUCUUAUCCAUUAAUCUUAGUGAUA